rnacentral:sRNA from 1 species
CAUGAGUGCUGGGAAUCAAACCCAGGUCCCCUGCAAGAAAAGUGCUCUUUACUUCUGAAUCAGCCACCUUCCCCACCUUUGGAAGUCAUUUAGAAUAAUUUUAUUGGUAUAUAUAAUAACCGCACAUACUUAUGAGGGUAAAAUGUAAUGUCUAUAAAGACAACACCAAUAAUUUUCUUUGUUUCAUAUGGUUGUAAGAGAUUGAAUUUAGGCCCUCAUUCAUGCUAACUAGGCAAGUGCUCUACCACUGAGCUACAGCCUC